rnacentral:rRNA from 1 species
AGAACGAACGCUGGCGGCAGGCCUCAAACAUGCAAGUCUAGGGGGUGUAGCAAUACAUCACCGGCGGACGGGUGCGUAACGCGUGGGAAUAUACCUAUUGGUUCGGAACAACUGAGGGAAACUUCAGCUAAUACCGAAUGUGUCCUAACGGAGAAAGAUUUAUCGCCAAUAGAUUAGCCCGCGUUCGAUUAGCUAGUUGGUGGGGUAAUGGCUCACCAAGGCGACGAUCGAUAGCUGUUCUGAGAGGAAGAUCAGCCACACUGGGACUGAGACACGGCCCAGACUCCUACGGGAGGCAGCAGUUGGGAAUCUUGGACAAUGGGGGAAACCCUGAUCCAGCCAUGCCGCGUGAGUGAUGAAGGCCUUCGGGUUGUAAAACUCUUUCGCGCACGACGAUAAUGACGGUAGUGCGAGAAGAAGCUCCGGCUAACUUCGUGCCAGCAGCCGC